GGUUGGGGAAGGGGAAGGAAACCAGCGUUUUUUGAUUCUCUGGCAUGUGCUGAGCGCUGGACUGUGUACUGUUCGCUAUGUUGUAAGAAGUAACAAGUCUGUAAUACAGGGACUUUGCAGAUGUGUCUAAAUUAAGGAUUUUGCGAUGGGGAGAUUUCCUAGAUUAUCCAACUGAAUCUUAUGUCAUCGCAAGAGUCCUAAUAAGAGGGCAGCCAGCAGGUCAAAGGAGGACGAGGUCGGAUGCGAUCUGGAGGUUGGAGUGAAGCACUCUGAAGGUGGAGGAAGUUGGACCAGGAGCCAAGCCAAGCAGGUGGUCUCUGAGAGUGGAGGAGACAAGGAAACAGACUCUACCCUGGAGCCCACAGAAGGCUCCUCGUAGGAUUCACUGUGGGCUUCUGACCUCCAGGACUCUAACAGAAUAAAUUUGUGUUUUAAGCCACUACAUUUGUGGUAGUUUGUUAUAGCAGUGAAGGAAACCGACCGUCCAAUCCCUCUUCCCCCACCGCCGGACGCACCUCCUUGCUCUCAACCCUGCAGCUACCUUAGAGAUCUUUACAGAGUGCAAAUCUGUUUGUUUAAAUCUCUUCAAAGGCCCCCUCACAGGUUAGGAGAUAAUGUCCACAUCCCUUUAUAAUUCCUUCGUCUCCUUCCAUAGCAGUUCCCUUCUCUUUGUCCUCUGGUCUUCCUUCUUCCCUUUCUCUUUCGCUGGUUCUCACUCUAGACCCUGGGCUUCUGCAAAUGCCGGCUCUUUGUCUGGAAGGGGUGUCUACCCUCUCUGCCUGGGAAAUGCCCUCCUUCCCGUAUCUCCUGGACUAUGGGGACUUCUGCGCUGCCCUGGACAAAGUCGACUGCUCCCUUGUCAGUGACCGCAGCACACUCUCUGUGCGUCUUGAUGACACAGCACAUACCACCCUGUGUUGUCAUUGUGCUGUUUACAUCUGCUUCUCCUGCCAGGGGCUGAUCCUAAGCAGAAACGUGGGAAGAAUCCAAGAAAUAUUUGCCAAAGGCAUCGAUGAGUAUGCCUGUGUCACCUCAGCGUGCCUCCAGGCCUUCAGGGAGCCCGGCCGACUCUCCUCUAGCGUAGUGCAGAUGGACUUUAAAACGGCUCCUCUGGGCUCAGAUUCCCCACUUCCCCACUUCUGCUUCUUGGGAUUGGUUUUUGUCUCAAGGUCUGCUUGUAGGAAAACCCAAACUCAUGCACUGUUUAAAACCACAUGGCCACACAUCAGGGAAAGUCAAGACUUUUAUGACUUCAUUAUGGGGUGGAGAUAAGAAAAUUUUGCUGCCCUUUCAUUUGGAGGUUUCACUGCCUAUGCUAAGCAUCUGCAGGUGCAUCAGGACCUCAAUGGUUAUAAUAAAGAUGAUCAAAUUAACCUCAGGUUGUCAUGCAUCUGACUGUGGACUCAACGGCAGCAUGUGAAGCCACGGUGAGAAAGCAGCUACAUGUAAGACAGGAAGAGGGACUCACUAGAAACCAGCCAUGCUUCUUCUAGCCUGAUCUUGGACUUCCAGCUUCCAGAACUGUGAGAAAAUAAAUUGGUGUUGUUUAAGCCACCUAGUCUAUUGUAUUUUGUUAUGGCAGCCAGAGCCGAAUAGUACAGAAUAUAAACUCCAGAAGCACCACUUAGAU